GACGAACGCUGGCGGCACGCUUAACACAUGCAAGUCGAACGAGAGAGAAGAUUAGCUUGCUAAACUUCGAUCUAGUGGCGGACGGGUGAGUAACACGUGAGGAACCUGCCUAUCAGAGAGGGAUACCGUUUGGAAACGAACGUUAAUACCACAUAACGUAACGAUACCGCAUGGUAAUGUUACCAAAGAUUUAUCGCUGAUAGAUGGCCUCGCGUCUGAUUAGCUAGUUGGUGAGGUAACGGCCCACCAAGGCGACGAUCAGUAGCCGACCUGAGAGGGUGACCGGCCACAUUGGGACUGAGACACGGCCCAAACUCCUACGGGAGGCAGCAGUGGGGAAUAUUGCACAAUGGGGGAAACCCUGAUGCAGCGACGCCGCGUGAGUGAAGAAGUAUUUCGGUAUGUAAAGCUCUAUCAGCAGGGAAGAAAUGACGGUACCUGACUAAGAAGCCCCGGCUAACUACGUG
rnacentral:rRNA from 1 species